rnacentral:lncRNA from 1 species
UGCCUCCUCGUUAUUCAAACCACUGCUCUCUCUCCCCACCCUAUUUGUGCAAAUCUCGCCAAUCCUUUAAGUCUCAAAUCAAAUCCCACUUCCUCAUUCAAGAUUUUCCUGAGUCUUCUAGCUUUGAAAUUCACCUUUCCUCCUCUGAUGCUGUUGUGUUCCGUUGCAAUUCAUAAUUUACUUCCUCUUCAUGUGGUCAUGUUUUAUCUUCCCAACUAGAAAGGCAACUUCUUAAAGGUGAAAGCCAACUCAGCAACGUCUCUUUAAGGAGAUAUUAUGAAGAGGCAUCAGCUUUUGUUCUGAUACCAUCAACAAUGAUCCAGAUGAAAAGGAAUAUGGUUCAACCUCCAUAUUUCUCAUAAAGAGAAAACUGAGGUCCAGAGAAGUGAAAUGGCUUAUCCAGAGGCAGUCAGGAGCCUUGUUUGUUGCAUGUGUGCCAGAACCUCGGAGCAGGAAACAUGCCAUCAGAAUGAAUGUGUCUGCCUGGCAAAGGCAGGGCAGAGCGGAAUCGAUUAGAGAGAGGAAGGCGGGCAGUUGAAUGGGAUGCUGCCUAAAGAGAACCCAGCAGAUCCGUUCACUCUGCGAGCCAGUCUUGACCUUCUGCGCCUUAGGACCAUCUCCCUAGGACCACCAGCAUGAAGUUCAUGUGUCAAGAAGAAGUCGUCUGUGUUCUCCAAAAGCAACUUCAUGACCAGUUUUGAAAUAAUUCAAAAACAUUUGCUCUCUUCAGAUCAGCUUCCUUCAAGCCAAUGUUUAUUUAAUUCAUAUGUCUGAAGUUUUCUGGCUCUUGAAAGUCAACAUUCUUGGUCUCCUCCCCUGUCCCAGCAUGUUUAAGUUGAGAUGGUGUUCUUUCUUGUUUCCUUAAGAGCUCUUGCCAAGUCACUGGGCAUGUCUCUCUUGUUCAUCUUCUGAAAAUCUUCAAUAAAUACAUGUCCUGAUUCUCCCA